UUUCCCACAACUUCGUAUACCCAGUCAAAAUUUAUGACAAUACUCCUUUUACAUUUAACCUUUUCUACUAAUUAAUUUUAUAAAACAUGCAAUUACCCUAGUAUCCCAAUCCCAACCCCACUACUCCAAGACGCCUUAGUUAUACGGUUAUAUACCUCUACUUCUCCGCCUUCAAAAUACAUAAUCUCUAUCUCUUUCAUUUAUUUAUUCAUAAGAUCACCAUUCAAAUGGCGAAGUUGAUCGAAGAAGAGGUAAUGAGCGAAGUUCAUAUAGGAUACCCCUUAAUUUCUAUGGCCUUUCUUAUAGAUCUCUCAGAUUCAAGUGGAUAUUUUUAGAUAGACGACGAUGACGAAUAAGUUUUUUGAAUUAGCCGAUGAAGCUGGCUAGAGACAUCAACGAUUGAAAUCACAAAAUGUCAUCGACUUAAUCAGGUGAUGGUGUGAAGAAGAGAAGUUAUCCAUUAAUCACUUUGUACUUUAAUUCAAUUGUUAAGUUCUAUUGGACUAGGGAGGAAAACUACCUCAUGCGUUUUAAUAUAGUAAUUGUAGAUUUGAGUUGUAAUGCAAGAUGUGUUUGGAUUAUUGAACUUUAGUUAGUUACAAUUUUUUUUGGCAACUGAAAUGUAAGGGUUUGGAAUAUUAUUUAUGAAAUACAAAUUUGAAGUA